rnacentral:lncRNA from 12 species
CCCCCCCCCCCCCCCCCCCCCCCCCCCCCCCCCCCCCCCCCCCCCCCCCCCCUGGGGCGGCUGCGCGCAGCGCGCAUGGGGCUCAGUAAUUAUGAUUGUGAAUAAUGCAUGGCGAUUAAUGGUGCUGGGGGCGAGCGCGGAUUGGCGCGGCUCCAGCGGACUCAGGCUGCAUAUGUAAAUGAAGGACGGGGCUCCGCANGUAAUUAUGAUUGUGAAUAAUGCAUGGCGAUUAAUGGUGCUGGGGGCGAGCGCGGAUUGGCGCGGCUCCAGCGGACUCAGGCUGCAUAUGUAAAUGAAGGACGGGGCUCCGCAAUUAGCCGCUUCGCUCCGCCAAAUGAUGCGUCUCCCCGGCACCGGCAGCGCCGCCUGCGAGAGGCACCGACCGCGUCGGUGGCGGCAGCGGCAGCAGCGAAGCACACACGCACCACGCAGGAGGGAAUCUGUUUUGCACACACUUUACACAACAUAUGUGCAAGGUUCACUUGUUGGGAGAGGUCACGAUCUUCGCUUUUCUGUCUGUCGUGCUUUCUUCCCCCCGUCUCUCAGUUUCUUUUGCUCUGCUCUCUUCUUUUUUUUUCUUUUUUUUUUCCUUUUCUUUCUUCACAUCACUCUGCGUCCUGUGCUCUCUCGGUCUCGCUUUCCCCAGAAGUUGAGCUGCAAAGCAUCUGAUUUCUGUGUGUGUGUGAGUAAUUUCUUCCCAGGAGGAAAAGAAACUUUUGCGUAUGCCUUUUCUUUUUCCUUUUCUUUUCGGUGUGCUUUCUUUUUUCGCGUUGUACUGCUCUGUCGCCUUGAUCUUCACAUGCUUCUCUUUAGCUCUUCCUCCAUCCUGUCUCCUUUCCCGUAGCUCUUUCUGUUUCCCCUUCCCGGCUGACUUUUGUUCUCUCCGCUCUCGAAAGCGCACGCACGCACACGCAGAAGACCUUGGGCAGUUUUGUCUUUCACCUCUCCCUCCUUCUUUGUCUUGCAGCUUCUUUCUCCAAGCAGAGACUCCCCGUUGGUGGUGGUGGUCACUUCCUGUUGUCCAUUGGUAGGAAGUUUUUUUUCUUUCUCCCUCUCUCUCUCAGGUUGUAAUGACUUUUUGUGACACUCCUCACCCUUCCGCCCACUCACCCCCCCGGCUCAGCCGUGUGUCCUGUUAGCUAAUGACAGCGGGCUCGCGUGUGCGCCGAUGAGCAAGUCCUCGGUCUCCAGCAAAUAGUACGGAUCGUCUCCCAGUUUUGGGGGGUGGGGGUGGCUGUUGUUGUUGUCGCCGGGUGAUCCCCCCUCCCCUGCCUUGCCUCGUUCUCAAUCUCGCCGCCAGCUGCUCCCUGCGCGGCGGCUCCGCCGGUCGCUGCCUCCGCUCCGUGCCGAGGAGCGCUGCGCGCACCGCGGCCGCUCUUGAUUUCGGGCAGAUAAACUUUCAAGUUUGGGAGCGGAGCGGGUCACACGGCAGCUCCUCCUACUCUCCUCCUCCUCCUCCGCCUCCCGUGCCGCGCUGCCGGGGCCCCCCCCCCCCCCCCCCCCCCCCCCCCCCCCCCCCCCCCCCCCCCCCCCCCCCCCCCCCCCCCCCC